GAUGAACGCUGGCGGCGUGCCUAAUACAUGCAAGUCGAGCGAAUGGAUUAAGAGCUUGCUCUUAUGAAGUUAGCGGCGGACGGGUGAGUAACACGUGGGUAACCUGCCCAUAAGACUGGGAUAACUCCGGGAAACCGGGGCUAAUACCGGAUAAUAUUUUGAACUGCAUAGUUCAAAAUUGAAAGGCGGCUUCGGUUGUCACUUAUGGAUGAACCCGCGUCGCAUUAGCUAGUUGGUGAGGUAACGGCUCACCAAGGCAACGAUGCGUAGCCGACCUGAGAGGGUGAUCGGCCACACUGGGACUGAGACACGGCCCAGACUCCUACGGGAGGCAGCAGUAGGGAAUCUUCCGCAAUGGACGAAAGUCUGACGGAGCAACGCCGCGUGAGUGAUGAAGGCUUUCGGGUCGUAAAACUCUGUUGUUAGGGAAGAACAAGUGCUAGUUGAAUAAGCUGGCACCUUGACGGUACCUAACCAGAAAGCCACGGCUAACUACGUGCCAGCCGCCGCAGUAA
rnacentral:rRNA from 1 species